CCGGGGAGCCGGGCAGCCGCGUCAUCUCACCUGAGGUGCCGAGGAAAGUCCGGGCUCCACGAAACAAGGGUGGCGGGUAACGCCCGCCGGGCGAAGGGUUUCGGCCCGAAGCUUAGGGAAAGUGCCACAGAGAGCAGACCGCCGAGUCUCUUCGGAGCCAAGGUAAGGGUGAAAGGGUGCGGCAAGAGCGCACCGCGCUUCCGGUAACGGCAAGCGGCAUGGCAAACCCCACCCGGAGCAAGACCGAAUAGGGGCUGCGCGCCAAGGCCUUAGGGCCGAGGCGGGUCUGUUUCGGACCCGACAGCCCGGGUUGGUCGCUGGAGCGGUGCAGCAAUGCACCGCGUAAGAGGAAUGGCUGCCCUCGGCGAUACGGUCCUGCAAGCAGGAUACCGUCGACGAGACAGAACCCGGCUUACAGGCUCCCCGGCGUU
rnacentral:RNase_P_RNA from 1 species